CCUAUUCGAAGGGAUAGGGUCGGUUCGGCCGGAUUUUACACAGGUGUUGCAUGGCUGUCGUCAGCUCGUGUCGUGAGAUGUUGGGUUAAGUCCCGCAACGAGCGCAACCCUCAUCCUUAGUUGCCAUCAGGUAAUGCUGAGCACUUUAAGGAAACUGCCAGUGAUAAGCUGGAGGAAGGUGGGGAUGAUGUCAAGUCAUCAUGGCCUUUAUGAAGUGGGCUACACACGUGCUACAAUGGUGUCUACAAUGGGCUGCAAGGUGCGCAAGCCUAAGCUAAUCCCUAAAAGACAUCUCAGUUCGGAUUGUACUCUGCAACUCGAGUGCAUGAAGUUGGAAUCGCUAGUAAUCGUGGAUCAGCAUGCCACGGUGAAUACGUUCUCGGGUCUUGUACACACUGCCCGUCACGCCAUGGGAAUUGGUUUCACUCGAA
rnacentral:rRNA from 1 species